rnacentral:rRNA from 1 species
UACAGAGGUCUCAAGCGUUGUUCGGAUUCAUUGGGCGUAAAGGGUGCGUAGGCGGCGCGGUAAGUCGGGUGUGAAAUCUUGGAGCUUAACUCCGAAACUGCAUUCGAUACUGCCGUGCUUGAGGACUGGAGAGGAGACUGGAAUUUACGGUGUAGCGGUGAAAUGCGUAGAUAUCGUAAGGAAGACCAGUGGCGAAGGCGGGUCUCUGGGCCGAUACUGACGCUGAGGCGCGAAAGCGUGGGGAGCAAACAGG